rfam:Eubacterium sp. CAG:192 genomic scaffold, scf409
UAGACAACAACUGGAGAGGUCUGAUGACAGAGAUUUUUGUUGACUCAGACGCCGAAGGUGUACGGCAGAAUUUAAAUCUUUUAUGAAUUCUGUUAAUCUCUCAGGCAAAAGGACAGGAGGACGUUA